rnacentral:RNase_P_RNA from 1 species
AGUGGGUCGGACAACCGCGUGCUUCGUCAUGAGGAAAGUCCGGGCUUCAAAAGGCAAGAUGCCAGCUAACAGCUGGGCGGGGCGACCCGACGGAUUAGUGCCACAGAAAAGAAAACUCCCCCGCUGCCCUUAAUGGUGAACUGAUAUUUCUUCACUAUCAAGGGCAGCGGGAGAAAAGCUGAAACGGUGCGGUAAAAGCGCACCAGUGUGUCGGCAACGGCACAGCUUGGUAAACCCCAUCUGAAGCAAGCGCAAAUAGGAACGCUAUACGGCCGCCUUUCCGUGCGUUCGGGUUGCGUGCUUGAGUUGCAUGGCGACAUGCAAUCGAGAUAAAUGGUUGUCGAUUACAGAACCCGGCUUAUAGACCCACUCC